AGCGAACGCUGGCGGCAGGCCUAACACAUGCAAGUCGAACGGACCCUUCGGGGUUAGUGGCGGACGGGUGAGUAACACGUGGGAACGUGCCUUUAGGUUCGGAAUAGCUCCUGGAAACGGGUGGUAAUGCCGAAUGUGCCCUUCGGGGGAAAGAUUUAUCGCCUUUAGAGCGUCCCGUGUCUGAUUAGCUAGUUGGUGAGGUAAUGGCUCACCAAGGCGACGAUCAGUAGCUGGUCUGAGAGGAUGACCAGCCACAUUGGGACUGAGACACGGCCCAAACUCCUACGGGAGGCAGCAGUGGGGAAUCUUGCGCAAUGGGCGUAAGCCUGACGCAGCCAUGCCGCGUGGAUGAUGAAGGUCUUAGGAUUGUAAAAUCCUUUCACCGGUGAAGAUAAUGACUGUAGCCGGAGAAGAAGCCCCGGCUAACUUCGUGCCAGCCGCCGCAGUAAGAC
rnacentral:rRNA from 1 species